rnacentral:rRNA from 1 species
AGGCGCGCGAUACAGGGUGACAGCCCCGUACACAAAAAUGCACAUGCUGUGAGCUCGAUGAGUAGGGCGGGACACGUGGUAUCCUGUCUGAAUAUGGGGGGACCAUCCUCCAAGGCUAAAUACUCCUGACUGACCGAUAGUGAACCAGUACCGUGAGGGAAAGGCGAAAAGAACCCCGGCGAGGGGAGUGAAAAAGAACCUGAAACCGUGUACGUACAAGCAGUGGGAGCACGCUUAGGCGUGUGACUGCGUACCUUUUGUAUAAUGGGUCAGCGACUUAUAUUCUGUAGCAAGGUUAACCGAAUAGGGGAGCCGAAGGGAAACCGAGUCUUAACUGGGCGUUAAGUUGCAGGGUAUAGACCCGAAACCCGGUGAUCUAGCCAUGGGCAGGUUGAAGGUUGGGUAACACUAACUGGAGGACCGAACCGACUAAUGUUGAAAAAUUAGCGGAUGACUUGUGGCUGGGGGUGAAAGGCCAAUCAAACCGGGAGAUAGCUGGUUCUCCCCGAAAGCUAUUUAGGUAGCGCCUCGUGAAUUCAUCUCCGGGGGUAGAGCACUGUUUCGGCAAGGGGGUCAUCCCGA